AACAUCGCGCACCUGCGGGAACCUGCGGAAGGAUCAUUACCGAGUUAUACAACUCAUCAACCCCUGUGAACUUACCUACAACGUUGCUUCGGCGGGAACAGACGGCCCCGUAAAACGGGCCGCCCCCGCCAGAGGACCCCUAACUCUGUUUUUAUAAUGUUUUUCUGAGUAAACAAGCAAAUAAAUUAAAACUUUUAACAACGGAUCU
rnacentral:misc_RNA from 1 species